rnacentral:tRNA from 1 species
AAUGAUGUGCCUGAACAAUAGGACUAUCGUGAUAGGAUAAAACAUGUAGUAUCCACUACCUUCAUUA